AUUGAACGCUGGCGGCAUGCUUUACACAUGCAAGUCGAACGGCAGCGCGGGCUUCGGCCUGGCGGCGAGUGGCGAACGGGUGAGUAAUACAUCGGAACGUGCCCAGUAGUGGGGGAUAGCUCGGCGAAAGCCGGAUUAAUACCGCAUACGACCUGAGGGUGAAAGCGGGGGAUCUUCGGACCUCGCGCUAUUGGAGCGGCCGAUGGCAGAUUAGCUAGUUGGUGGGGUAAGGGCCUACCAAGGCGACGAUCUGUAGCUGGUCUGAGAGGACGACCAGCCACACUGGGACUGAGACACGGCCCAGACUCCUACGGGAGGCAGCAGUGGGGAAUUUUGGACAAUGGGCGAAAGCCUGAUCCAGCAAUGCCGCGUGUGUGAUGAAGGCCUUCGGGUUGUAAAGCACUUUUGGCGGGAACGAAAAGGACUGUGCCAAUACCACGGUUCGAUGACGGUACCCACAGAAUAAGCACCGGCUAACUACGUG
rnacentral:rRNA from 1 species